rnacentral:lncRNA from 1 species
GAAGAUUGGUGGCUUCUCAUGGAUUUCUUGAGGUACAUUUAUUGCAUUUCAAAUACCAAUCACCAAUAAAACCGAUUUGUUUAAAUUCUUUGAAGUUCUUCUCUUCCUCUCCAGGCUGUUUGGCCUUACAGUGGUCAUUAUCUACCAACUGAAGACAAUUUCAAGGAAUUCAUUAUUUUCCUUGAAGAACACAAUGUGGAUUUAACCAACGUUAAGGUAAUAAAAAAGAAGUCAUUAGACUUUAACUUAAGCUUUGUGGAGAUUUAACAAUAUAGAUAGCUACCAGAAUUUGAUUAAUCUUGUCAGGAUAGUGCUUACAUUCUCAUUUCUGGAGCAGAGAUGUGCAGUAGAUGAGGGCUACACCUCAAACAAAGUUGUCGGCUAUGAGUCCAAGCAUGGGGUAAUUAAAGAUACAAUGGAAACAGAAAAAUCGAGAGAUUCAAAGACUGUAGAGGUCGAUGAUGAGCCUGCAAAUGAUGAGUGCAUCAGAACUGAAAGUCUUGAAGUUAGCAUAGACAGCAGUGCAGCACAAGCAUUCAACAUGGCCAAACCUUUGUCUUGCAAGUGGACAAGUGGGAUUGGUCCUCGAAUUGGCUGUGUCAGAGAGUACCCAAAAGAACUGCAAUUCCAAGCUCUGGAACAAGUUAACCUGUCUCCCAGAGUCACCCCUGGUCGCUUUGGAACCUCUGUUCCAAUACCU